rnacentral:tRNA from 1 species
UGGAUUGGGAGCGAUUCGAACGCCCAGCUUCUUGAUUGCAAAUCAAGCACUCUACCAUUGGAGUUACCAACCC